rnacentral:rRNA from 1 species
GACAGAGGUGACAAGCGUUAGGCGGAAUCACUGGGCUUAAAGCGUGUGUAGGCGGAUCGUUAAGUACCUUGUGAAAUCCCACGGCUUAACCGUGGAACUGCUCGGUAUACUGGCGGUCUUGAGCAACCUAGGGGCGAGCGGAACAAAUGGUGGAGCGGUGAAAUGCGUAGAUAUCAUUUGGAACGCCAAUGGUGAAAACAGCUCGCUGGGGGUUUGCUGACGCUGAGACACGAAAGCCAGGGGAGCAAACGGG